GAUGAAGAACGUAGCGAAAUGCGAUAACUAAUGUGAAUUGCAGAAUUCCGUGAAUCAUCGAGUCUUUGAACGCACAUUGCGCCCCCUGGUAUUCCGGGGGCAUGCCUGUCCGAGCGUCAUUGCUGCCCAUCAAGCACGGCUUGUGUGUUGGGUCCCGUCCCCCUCUCCCGGGGGACGGACCCGAAAGGCAGCGGCGGCACCGCGUCCGGUCCUCGAGCGUAUGGGGCUUUGUCACCCGCUCUUGUAGGCCCGGCCGGCGCUUGCCGACACCCAACCAUUUUUUUCAGGUUGACCUCGGAUCAGGUAGGGAUACCCGCUGAACUUAAGCAUAUCAAUAAGCGGAGGA
rnacentral:misc_RNA from 1 species